GCUUGCUUUCUUUGCUGGCGACCGGCGCACGGGUGAGUAACACGUAUCCAACCUGCCCUUUACUCGGGGAUAGCCUUUCGAAAGAAAGAUUAAUACCCGAUAGUAUAAUGAUUCCGCAUGGUUUCAUUAUUAAAGGAUUCCGGUAAAGGAUGGGGAUGCGUUCCAUUAGGUUGUUGGUGAGGUAACGGCUCACCAAGCCUUCGAUGGAUAGGGGUUCUGAGAGGAAGGUCCCCCACAUUGGAACUGAGACACGGUCCAAACUCCUACGGGAGGCAGCA
rnacentral:rRNA from 1 species